GAUGAACGCUGACAGAAUGCUUAACACAUGCAAGUCAACUUGAACUUCGGUUUGGGUGGCGGACGGGUGAGUAACGCGUAAAGAACUUGCCUCACAGAUAGGGACAACAUUUGGAAACGAAUGCUAAUACCUGAUAUUAUGAUUAUAUGGCAUCGUAUAAUUAUGAAAGCUAUAUGCGCUGUGAGAGAGCUUUGCGUCCCAUUAGCUAGUUGGAGAGGUAACGGCUCACCAAGGCGAUGAUGGGUAGCCGGCCUGAGAGGGUGAUCGGCCACAAGGGGACUGGGACACGGCCCUUACUCCUACGGGAGGCAGGAGUGGGGAAUAUUGGACAAUGGACCAAGAGUCUGAUCCAGCAAUUCUGUGUGCACGAUGAAGUUUUUCGGAAUGUAAAGUGCUUUCAGUUGGGAAGAAAAAAAUGACGGUACCAACAGAAGAAGUGACGGCUAAAUACGUG
rnacentral:rRNA from 1 species